GACGUCCUACGGGGCGCAGCAGUAGGGAAUAUUGCUCAAUGGGGGAAACCCUGAAGCAGCAACGCCGCGUGGAGGAUGAAGGUUUUAGGAUUGUAAACUCCUUUUGUUAGAGGGGAUUAUGACGGUAUCUAACGAAUAAGCACCGGCUAACUCCGUGCCAGCAGCCGCGGUAAUACGGAGGGUGCAAGCGUUACUCGGAAUCACUGGGCGUAAAGAGUGCGUAGGCGGGGUAAUAAGUCAGAUGUGAAAUCCUGUAGCUUAACUACAGAACUGCAUUUGAAACUGUUACUCUGGAGUGUGGUAGG
rnacentral:rRNA from 1 species